rnacentral:rRNA from 1 species
UACGGGGGGGGGCAAGCGUUGUUCGGAAUUACUGGGCGUAAAGGGCUCGUAGGUGGCCAACUAAGUCAGACGUGAAAUCCCUCGGCUUAACCGGGGAACUGCGUCUGAUACUGGAUGGCUUGAGGUUGGGAGAGGGAUGCGGAAUUCCAGGUGUAGCGGUGAAAUGCGUAGAUAUCGGAAGGAACAUCAGUGGCGAAAGCGGCUCACUGGACCGAAUCUGACACUGAGGUGCGAAAGCUAGGGUAGCAAACGGG